rnacentral:tRNA from 8 species
CGCGGGGUGGAGCAGUUCGGUAGCUCGUCGGGCUCAUAACCCGAAGGUCGCAGGUUCGAAUCCUGCCCCCGCAACCA